AGGAGGUAAGACCGACCAUAACAUUGAUCUAAAUCCUAGUCAUGAUCAACUUACAGAAUGUCUACAUGCCACCAAUAACCAGUGUUAUCUCCAAUCAGAUGAUACUAAGGUAUUAUAAUAGGUGAUCAUGAAACUCAAGAGUCAGAAGGUGGAGAAAUUAAUCUACACAAAUAUCUUGUAAACUGUAAGAAGAAUCCAGGACAUAAAUAAUUUAUACCUGUUGAUACAUUUGCCCUGAAACAUUUACCUGAAGGUUAUCAAGACAAAGAUUUGUAUGAAUACAUCAAAGUUUUAUCUGACCAGACAAUUAGAGUGAGUGUUAUAACGUCCAGUCCACACAGACCAAUGUAUUGGCCAAAGACAACUCAACCAUUUCCAUUUUAUAACAUGAAUGACACAUGAAAUCUGAGGACAGGAAGCGGAAGUGUGUGGAAAGUAAAAAAGUUUCAAGAUGGCGUCAGACAAGAUGGAUGUAUUGGACGUACAGACUACACCAGGUGUUGGUGUUGAAAAUGUCAAGAUUUAGAUUCGCCCAGCAAUGUGUGGUGGGAAUUUAAAGUGACAACAGCUAUACAGGUGGUUUUUGAUGACAUUGAGGCCAGCCAGACGACCUUGAGACUGUUUUAUGAUAGAAAUGAUAGUCUAGAGGUCAAUGUUGAUAAGGUCAAGGUUAAUUAUGUAAAUAUUGAGUACGACUU
rnacentral:sRNA from 1 species